rnacentral:tRNA from 1 species
AGGGAUUUAGGCUAAACCAGACCGAGGGCCUUCAAAGCCCUAAGCAAAUCACACAGAUUUAAUCCCUG